GACAGAGGGGGCAAGCGUUGUCCGGAGUUACUGGGCGUAAAGGGCGCGGAGGCGGUCUGCGGCGUCGGCGCUGAAAGCGGCCCGCUUAACGGGGCGAGGCGUGCCGAUACGCGCAGGCUCGAGGCGAGCAGAGGGUGGUGGAAUUCCGGGUGGAGCGGUGAAAUGCGUAGAGAUCCGGAGGAACGCCAGUGGGGAAGCCGGCCACCUGGGCUCGGCCUGACGCAGCGGCGCGACAGCGUGGGGAGCAAACCGG
rnacentral:rRNA from 1 species